CAUGCAAGAAAAGGGGAAGGACCACAGGAGUUGGGGAGGGGGUCACCUCCAUCCACUUCCGAAUUCCUAAAACCCCAUGCAUCCUACUUUUGAGGUGGGAAGCGAGGCAUAACUAAAGUCGUUUUGGUGGAAUAAACUCCAGUCCAUCUCCAUGUCAUCAGCAUGUUUCGCCCCGAUUCCAUUCCACGCCACCAGUGGCGUAUGGAGCAAGAACAGAACCUCAAAGAUCUGUGAAGGCAGGAGGAGGAGCCAAAUGUUUGAGCCAGAGGGCCUAUAGUGCAACCAGCUACAUUGCGUAAUUGAGGGUGAACACUGAUGACAUGAGACUACCAGUAAGUAUCAGUAAGCGUGUGACAAAGAAAGCCAGCGAAGUCUAGCAGUACUGAAGGAGGAAUUGUCCCAUUGUAAUUUGAGUUUUCCAUGAAGGCAAAAGACAGGGCUACAAUCAGCUGACUGCAGCGUGACACUGUGUGAGAAUGUGAAGAAUGUGCUGAUCCCAUGUUGCUUACACCCUGAUCCCAGUACAACACUCUCCACCCUAACACAACAGUACUGUUGUUGGAACACCAACAGUGGUUCGAUUCUGAACAAAAAUAGACCUGGAAGGGGUGAAACAAAAUUAAAACAUUCCAAAGAAAAAAUGGGACAUACUGUAUACACUUAAGGGAGCAGCAUUGUCCCGACGUCCACAAUACACGCACAGCUUACAGCAUUUACUCCAAUUGUCCGCUGCAGACUUUGGCUUGUU